UACGGAAGGGGGCUAGCGUUGCUCGGAAUCACUGGGCGUAAAGCGCACGUAGGCGGAUUGCUAAGUCAGGGGUGAAAUCCUGGAGCUCAACUCCAGAACUGCCCUUGAUACUGGCGGUCUCGAGUCCGGGAGAGGUGAGUGGAACUGCGAGUGUAGAGGUGAAAUUCGUAGAUAUUCGCAAGAACACCAGUGGCGAAGGCGGCUCACUGGCCCGUAACUGACGCUGACGGCACGAAAGCGUGGGGAGCAAACAGG
rnacentral:rRNA from 1 species